CGAUAGCGUAUAUUUAAGUUGUUGCAGUUAAAAAGCUCGUAGUUGGAUUUCGGAUGGGACUUGCCGGUCCGUCGUUUCGAUGUGCACUGGCCAGUCCUAUCUUGUUGUCGGGGACUAGCUCCUGGGCUUCACUGUCCGGGACUAGGAGCCGACGAGGUUACUUUGAGUAAAUUAGAGUGUUCAAAGCAAGCCUACGCUCUGAAUACAUUAGCAUGGAAUAACACGAUAGGACUCUGGCUUAUCUUGUUGGUCUGUGAGACCAGAGUAAUGAUUAAGAGGGACAGUCGGGGGCAUUCGUAUUUCAUUGUCAGAGGUGAAAUUCUUGGAUUUAUGAAAGACGAACUUCUGCGAAAGCAUUUGUCAAGGAUGUUUUCAUUAA
rnacentral:rRNA from 1 species